rnacentral:rRNA from 1 species
UACAGAGGGUGCAAGCGUUGUUCGGAAUUAUUGGGCGUAAAGGGCGCGUAGGCGGUGCGGUAAGUCUGUAGUGAAAUCUCUGGGCUCAACUCAGAGUCUGCUAUAGAAACUGCCGUGCUUGAGUGUGGGAGAGGUGAGUGGAAUUCCCGGUGUGGCGGUGAAAUGCGUAGAUAUCGGGAGGAACACCUGUGGCGAAAGCGGCUCACUGGACCACAACUGACGCUGAGGCGCGAAAGCUAGGGGAGCAAACAGG